GUAGCUGAAGGUACUAUACGAAUAAGCACCGGCUAACUCCGUGCCAGCAGCCGCGGUAAUACGGAGGGUGCAAGCGUUAUCCGGAUUUAUUGGGUUUAAAGGGUCCGUAGGCGGAUCUGUAAGUCAGUGGUGAAAUCUCACAGCUUAACUGUGAAACUGCCAUUGAUACUGCAGGUCUUGAGUGUUAUUGAAGUAGCUGGAAUAAGUAGUGUAGCGGUGAAAUGCAUAGAUAUUACUUAGAACACCAAUUGCGAAGGCAGGUUACUAAGCAACAACUGACGCUGAUGGACGAAAGCGUGGGGAGCGAACAGGAUUAGAUACCCUGGUAGUCCACGCCGUAAACGAUGCUAACUCGUUUUUGGGCUUUCGGGUUCAGAGACUAAGCGAAAGUGAUAAGUUAGCCACCUGGGGAGUACGUUCGCAAGAAUGAAACUCAAAGGAAUUGACGGGGGCCCGCACAAGCGGUGGAUUAUGUGGUUUAAUUCGAUGAUACGCGAGGAACCUUACCAAGGCUUAAAUGGGAAAUGACAGGUUUAGAAAUAGACUUUUCUUCGGACAUUUUUCAAGGUGCUGCAUGGUUGUCGUCAGCUCGUGCCGUGAGGUGUUAGGUUAAGUCCUGCAACGAGCGCAACCCCUGUCACUAGUUGCCAUCAUUAAGUUGGGGACUCUAGUGAGACUGCCUACGCAAGUAGAGAGGAAGGUGGGGAUGACGUCAAAUCAUCACGGCCCUUACGCCUUGGGCCACACACGUAAUACAAUGGCCGGUACAGAGGGCAGCUACACAGCGAUGUGAUGCAAAUCUCGAAAGCCGGUCUCAGUUCGGAUUGGAGUCUGCAACUCGACUCUAUGAAGCUGGAAUCGCUAGUAAUCGCGCAUCAGCCAUGGCGCGGUGAAUACGUUCCCGGGCCUUGUACACACCGCCCGUCAAGCCAUGGAAGUCUGGGGUACCUGAAGUCGGUGACCGUAACAGGAGCUGCCUAGGGUAAAACAGGUAACUAGGGCUAAGUCGUAACAAGGUAGCCGUACCGGAAGGUGCGGCUGGAACAUCUCAUUUU
rnacentral:rRNA from 1 species